rnacentral:rRNA from 1 species
AUUGAACGCUGGCGGCAGGCCUAACACAUGCAAGUCGAGCGGAUGAAGGGAGCUUGCUCCUGGAUUCAGCGGCGGACGGGUGAGUAAUGCCUAGGAAUCUGCCUGGUAGUGGGGGAUAACGUCCGGAAACGGGCGCUAAUACCGCAUACGUCCUGAGGGAGAAAGUGGGGGAUCUUCGGACCUCACGCUAUCAGAUGAGCCUAGGUCGGAUUAGCUAGUUGGUUGGGUAAAGGCCUACCAAGGCGACUAUCCGUAACUGGUCUGAGAGGAUGACCAGUCACACUGGAACUGAGACACGGUCCAGACUCCUACGGGAGGCAGCAGUGGGGAAUAUUGGACAAUGGGCGAAAGCCUGAUCCAGCCAUGCCGCGUGUGUGAAGAAGGUCUUCGGAUUGUAAAGCACUUUAAGUUGGGAGGAAGGGCAGUAAGUUAAUACCUUGCUGUUUUGACGUUACCAACAGAAUAAGCACCGGCUAACUUCGUG